UAGCCACGCCGGUCACGUGAUAUGAGCAAAAUGUUCCACAGGGGUACUUCCGGUUAAUUUUGUUUACACUGGUAACAAAAUUGUUUUUGACAAAAUAUAGAUUUUGCGGCACAAACUGUCGCAAAUCAGAUAAAGGAUAGCAAGGGAUAUAUAUUUACUUGGAAGAUGUCAAAGUUUACCUUUUCCCAAACCCGGGAAAAGCGUUCACGAAGAGGAAACGAUGGCGUCAUUUGUGUAGAAAACCACGAGCAGCCGAAAUUGAGUGCGAUUAUUACAUUCCGUGAAAGCUGAACCAACAAAGGAACAUCAUUGUUCUAGCAAGUUUCCUUAUAUUAACUUUUAGGAAAACCAAGAGGUUGAUAACAAUGGCUGAUCUGCAUAUAAUGACUGCUAGUUAUUGGCUGGUAUGCAGUGAAAGGGAGCUAAAAAGGAGUAAAAAGUUCAUAUCAGCCAGGUGAGAAUUAAUUUCUUCUUUUUUGUGUGUUAUACAUAUGUAAUUCUUUUCUUUUGCUGCUUCAAAUCUUGUGUAUUUGAAAAUUUUCAGUCUAAUAUUUUGGCAAUGUUAUAGGUAGUGUGGCUUAAAUAAACCACUGUUAAGGAAUAUCCAGUAAUGGCAUGACAUCAUGAGAGUUUGGCAUACCGACAUUCAGAUGAUUAAUGAUGAAACUGAAGACCUCAAGUGAAAGGCAUGGAAAAUGAUCCUGUUCCCAUAUACCUGAAAAAGAGGAGGGAUGCCACAAUAUUGAUAAUAGACUUUUGUCAAUUUGAGAAGCAAAGAUGUAAAAAAAAAAAAAAAAAAAAUAAUGCUGAAAUUAUAAUUCAUGUAUUUGUUAAAAAUACUGUUCACUGUACAUACAUGUAUAUUUUUUAAAACUUAUUUUUAAAUACAUGAAGUAAUUCAUAUUAAAACUGUGAAUGUA